rnacentral:rRNA from 1 species
CGCGGGCUUAACACAGCCAGUCGAACGGUAAGGCUCCAGCUUGCUGGGGUACACGAGUGGCGAACGGGGGAGGUAACACGUGGGUGACCUGCCCUGCACUUCGGGAUAAGCCUGGGAAACUGGGUCUAAUACCGGAUAGGACCGCACCGUGAGGGUGUGGUGGAAAGUUUUUUCGGUGUGGGAUGGGCCCGCGGCCUAUCAGCUUGUUGGUGGGGUAAUGGCCUACCAAGGCGGCGACGGGUAGCCGGCCUGAGAGGGUGGACGGCCACAUUGGGACUGAGACACGGCCCAGACUCCUACGGGAGGCAGCAGUGGGGAAUAUUGCACAAUGGGCGGAAGCCUGAUGCAGCGACGCCGCGUGGGGGAUGACGGCCUUCGGGUUGUAAACUCCUUUCACCAUCGACGAAGGGUUUCUGACGGUAGAUGGAGAAGAAGCACCGGCUAACUACGUGCCAGCAGCCGCGGUAAUACGUAGGGUGCGAGCGUUGUCCGGAAUUACUGGGCGUAAAGAGCUCGUAGGUGGUUUGUCGCGUCGUCUGUGAAAUUCCGGGGCUUAACUCCGGGCGUGCAGGCGAUACGGGCAUAACUUGAGUACUGUAGGGGAGACUGGAAUUCCUGGUGUAGCGGUGAAAUGCGCAGAUAUCAGGAGGAACACCGGUGGCGAAGGCGGGUCUCUGGGCAGUAACUGACGCUGAGGAGCGAAAGCAUGGGGAGCGAACAGGAUUAGAUACCCUGGUAGUCCAUGCCGUAAACGGUGGGCGCUAGGUGUGGGUUUCCUUCCACGGGAUCCGUGCCGUAGCUAACGCAUUAAGCGCCCCGCCUGGGGAGUACGCCGCAAGGCUA